rnacentral:lncRNA from 1 species
UUGCUAGGAGAGUCCAUCUGGAAUUUGUCUGAUGUGGAAGCUCAUCUGUAGAUUGCCCGUUGGAGAGGUCCAAUUUCAUGAGGAAUCCAAUAGAGGAUCGUCCGACAGUGGAGUUCGGAUGGCGCUGUGGAGGUUCGUCUGCUGGAGGAGUCUUGAGGACAUUGGGAAAGAUCGAACGUUGGAGGAGUCCAAGAUUCAAUUCUAUCGUAGAAGUUUGAACGGAGUCCGACUCUUGUAGGAGGCUAAAAGGAGGCCGCUUAUUGUAGAAGCUUGGUCGA